rnacentral:rRNA from 1 species
UACGUAGGGGGCUAGCGUUGUCCGGAUUUAUUGGGCGUAAAGAGCGUGUAGGCGGUUUGGUAGGUCCGUUGUGAAAACUCGAGGCUCAACCUCGAGACGCCGAUGGAAACCAUCAGACUAGAGUCCGGAAGAGGAGAGUGGAAUUCCUGGUGUAGCGGUGAAAUGCGCAGAUAUCAGGAAGAACACCCGUGGCUAAGGCGGCUCUCUAGUACGGUACUGACGCUGAGGCACGAAAGCGUGGGGAGCAAACAGG